CUACUACCACCUGGAUCUGGAGUCACAAUUCACGAGCAUUCUAGAAUUCACUACAAGUAAUAGUCUAAAAGAAAUACAACUGUUUGGAUGAAAGAAACAGUAAAACAUAUAAGAUUGAUGGGGACUUCAAGGUCUGUAAAUGCCGACAUAUCUACCUUGAGUCUCCGGAUAGCGAGUCCAACAGCUAAAAUCUCGAUCAACCCAAGCCGGUACCAAAAUCUGUACAGAAAGUGCAGAGUGAAGUAUCAGUACAACUGAUCCCAUGUACUGGUAAGUGUCGAGCCUAACCUCGACAAAGUAGUGACGAGGCUAAGACAAGACACCUAUAAAUCAACCUGUACAAUAGACAGGUAAUAUCAGGAGGGGGAAGCAUGCUGAGGGGAAUACGAGAUGAAGAACUACAAUAAAAUGAUGACUGGAACAGUCAAUCUAUUAUGAAUCAACAGGAAUAGUGAAUACAGUAAAGGAAAAAUUGCACGGCAUCACCCUUCAUGAUUUUACUCUCAACCUCACCAUAAAAUCAAUAGAAACGACACGACAUCACCCUUCGUGCAUUAACUCUCAUAUCAUGGCACGACAUCACCCUUCGUGCAUUAACACUCACAAUAUGGCACAACAUCACCCUUCGUGCAUUAACACUCACAAUAUAGCACAACAUCACCCUUCGUGCAUUAACACUCACAAUAUGGUACGACAUUACCCUUCGUGCAUUAACACUCUCCCUUGCCAUAAUACAAUGAACAAUUAACAACAGAGAGAUAGAAUAACAUGUACAUGCCUUACUUUAAUAUUUGGUUCCACAAUAUCAAUCUCAACUUUGAAAUAAAUACUCAAUUAUCACCAGAAGAUCCGUAAACAUGAUAAUAACGAUCAAUUUAACAACACUAGUCUGAACACGUAGUAAUUAGGCAUACGAAAGAGAUAAAAUGAGAAAAAUGGGACAAACAGGGAAAAAGAGGUAAAUUGGUGGCGCAUAAGUACUCGUCGCGUCACAUAUAUGCCGCUCACAUGAAUUUCACAUAGCAAAUAAUCUAAGGUUCCUAAUUCCCCCAAGUCAGAGUUAACCACGACACUUACCUCGCUCCGAAGGCCACUC
rnacentral:lncRNA from 1 species